rnacentral:rRNA from 1 species
UACGGAGGGUGCGAGCGUUGUCCGGAAUCAUUGGGCGUAAAGGGCGCGUAGGUGGCCCGGUCAGUCUUUGGUGAAAGCGCGGGGCUCAACCCUGCGUCGGCCAGGGAUACUGCCGCGGCUCGAGCACUGUAGAGGCAGGCGGAAUUCCGGGUGGUAGCGGUGGAAUGCGUAGAGAUCCGGAAGAACACCGGUGGCGAAGGCGGCCUGCUGGGCAGUUUAGCUGGACACUGAGGCGCGACAGCGUGGGGAGCAAACAGG